UACAGAGGGUGCGAGCGUUAAUCGGAAUUACUGGGCGUAAAGCGCGCGUAGGCGGCUUUGUAAGUCGGGUGUGAAAUCCCUCGGCUCAACCGGGGAACUGCGUCUGAUACUGGGUGGCUUGAAUCCGGGAGAGGGAUGCGGAAUUCCAGGUGUAGCGGUGAAAUGCGUAGAUAUUCGCAAGAACACCAGUGGCGAAGGCGGCUCACUGGCCCGGUACUGACGCUGAGGUGCGAAAGCGUGGGGAGCAAACAGG
rnacentral:rRNA from 1 species